rnacentral:rRNA from 1 species
UACGUAGGGUGCAAGCGUUAAUCGGAAUUACUGGGCGUAAAGCGUGCGCAGGCGGUUUUGUAAGUCUGUCGUGAAAUCCCCGGGCUCAACCUGGGAAUUGCGAUGGAGACUGCAAGGCUAGAAUCUGGCAGAGGGGGGUAGAAUUCCACGUGUAGCAGUGAAAUGCGUAGAGAUGUGGAGGAACACCGAUGGCGAAGGCAGCCCCCUGGGUCAAGAUUGACGCUCAUGCACGAAAGCGUGGGAGC